rnacentral:rRNA from 1 species
GUGUCAGCAGCCGCGGUAAAACGUAGGAGGCGAGCGUUAUCCGGAUUUACUGGGUGUAAAGCGCGUGCAGGCGGAUCGGAAAGUUGGAUGUGAAAGCUCCCGGCUUAACUGGGAGAGGUCGUUCAAAACUACCGGUCUUGAGUACAGCAGAGGGAAGUGGAAUUCCGGGGGGUGUGGCUAAAUGCUUAGAUAUCCGGAGGAACGCCAGUGGCGAAAGCGGCUUUCUGGACUGUAACUGA